rnacentral:rRNA from 1 species
AUUGAACGCUGGCGGCAGGCCUACCACCUGAAAGUCGAGCGAGAGGCGUAAGGGUGCGUAAUGUCUGGGAAACUGCCUGAUGGAGGGGGAUAAAUACUGGAAACGGUAGAUAAUACCGCAUCCACUCAGAUGUGGCCACAUGGGAUUAGCUCGUAGGUGGGGUAACUGCCAACCUAGGCGAAGAUCCCUAGCUGGUCUGAGAGGGUGACCCGCACCACUGUAACUGAGACACGGUCCAGACUCCUCCGGGAGUCAGCAGUGGGGAAUAUUCCACAAUGGGCGCAAGCCGUAUGCAGCCAUGCCGCGUGUGUGAAGAAGGCCUUCGGGUUGUAAAGCACUGUCAGCGGGGAGGCGUUACCCGCAGAAGAAGCACCGGCUAACGCCGUGCCAGCAGCCGCGGUAAUAC